AGUGGCGGACGGGUGAGUAACGCGUGAGAAUCUGCCUUGGGGUCGGGGACAACCACUGGAAACGGUGGCUAAUACCGGAUAAGCCGAUUGGUGAAAGAUUUAUUGCCCGAAGAGGAGCUCGCGUCUGAUUAGCUAGUUGGUGAGGUAAGAGCUCACCAAGGCAGCGAUCAGUAGCUGGUCUGAGAGGACGAUCAGCCACACUGGGACUGAGACACGGCCCAGACUCCUACGGGAGGCAGCAGUGGGGAAUUUUCCGCAAUGGGCGAAAGCCUGACGGAGCAAGACCGCGUGAGGGAGGAAGGCUCUUGGGUUGUAAACCUCUUUUCUCAGGGAAGAAGCUCUGACGGUACCUGAGGAAUCAGCCUCGGCUAACUCCGUGCCAGCAGCCGCGGUAAUACGGAGGAGGCAAGCGUUAUCCGGAAUUAUUGGGCGUAAAGCGUCCGCAGGUGGCGAUUCAAGUCUGCUGUCAAAGCACGGGGCUUAACUCCGUAAAGGCAGUGGAAACUGAAUAGCUAGAGUGCCGUAGGGGUAGAGGGAAUUCCCGGUGUAGCGGUGAAAUGCGUAGAGAUCGGGAAGAACAUCGGUGGCGAAAGCGCUCUACUGGACGGCAACUGACACUCAGGUACGAAAGCUAGGGGAGCGAAUGGGAUUAGAUACCCC
rnacentral:rRNA from 1 species